rnacentral:rRNA from 1 species
UACGUAGGGUGCGAGCGUUAAUCGGAAUUACUGGGCGUAAAGCGUGCGCAGGCGGUUUUGCAAGCCGGAUGUGAAAUCCCCCGGGCUCAACCUGGGAAUGGCAUUCGGGACUGCAAGGCUGGAGUGCGGCAGAGGAGACUGGAAUUCCUGGUGUAGCAGUGAAAUGCGUAGAUAUCAGGAGGAAUACCGAUGGCGAAGGCAGGUCUCUGGGCUGACACUGACGCUCAUGCACGAAAGCGUGGGGAGCAAACAGG